GCGCCGUACGCAGCCGUCGCUCUUUAAAGCGCCCGCGCGGGGCAGCGUCUUGCCGGCCGACCCGCCACCGUCCGGCAUGAGGGGUUGGGGUGUUGCUGUCACCUCCUGCUCGCUCAAGCACCAUGGAACGCCUGCGGAGCCUGAGCCGGCUCCUGCCCCGGCGCACGCUGUGCGCUCUGGCCCAGGGCCUGACGCCUGGGGCGCGCCCAGUUGCCGCCUGCGGCCGCGCGGCCCACAUCCUCGGGCGGAGCCGGGCCGCGCCGCUGUGCGGGCCCCGCCGGCCCCCAGUGGCAGGUGAAAUGCACCGGUUUAGAACUUCUGAUGUCUCUCAAGCCACUUUAGCCAGCGUAGCCCCGGUGUUUACUGUGACAAAAUUUGACAAAGAGGGAAACGUUACUUCUUUUGAAAAGAAGAAAACUGACUUAUAUCAAGAAUUAGGUCUUCAAGCCAGAGAUUUGAGGUUUCAGCAUGUGAUGAGCAUCACAACAAGAAACAAUAGAAUUAUCAUGAGAAUGGAGUAUUUGAAAGCUGUGAUAACUCCAGAGUGUCUUCUGAUACUAGAUUAUCGUAAUUUAAAUUUAGAGCAAUGGCUAUUCCGGGAACUCCCCUCACAGUUGGCUGGAGAAGGACAACUUGUCACAUACCCUUUACCUUUUGAGUUUAGGGCUAUAGAAGCACUCCUACAAUAUUGGAUCAGCACUCUUCAGGGGAAACUUAGCGUUUUGCAACCACUGAUCCUUGAGACAUUGGAAGCUUUAGUGGAUCCCAAACAUUCCUCUGUAGACAGAAGCAAACUGCACAUCUUGCUACAAAAUGGCAAAAGUCUGUCAGAGUUAGAAACCGAUAUCAAAAUUUUCAAAGAGUCCAUUUUGGAGAUCUUGGAUGAAGAAGAGAGGCUGGAGGAGCUCUGUCUAACAAAGUGGAGUGACCCACAAGUCUUUGAAAAGAGCAGUGCAGGAAUCGACCAUGCAGAAGAGAUGGAAUUGCUGUUGGAAAACUACUACCGAUUAGCUGAGGAUCUUUCCAAUGCAGCUCGGGAACUCAGGGCGCUGAUUGAUGAUUCACAGAGUAUCAUAUUCAUCAAUCUGGACAGCCACCGUAAUGUGAUGAUGAGGCUGAACCUGCAGUUGACCAUGGGAACCUUCUCUCUUUCACUCUUUGGACUAAUGGGAGUUGCUUUUGGAAUGAAUCUAGAAUCUUCUCUUGAAGAGGACCAUAGGGUGUUUUGGCUGAUUACAGGAAUUAUGUUUAUGGGAAGUGGCCUCAUCUGGAGGCGUCUGCUGUCAUUCCUGGGACGACAGCUCGAAGCUCCUUUGCCUCCUGUGAUGGCCUCUUUACCCAAAAAAACCCUUCAGGCAGACAGAAGCAUGGAAAUGAAACACAGCUUCCGGCCAGAUGGACCCGGAUCAAGCAGGAGUGUCCUGACAACCCGGUAGAGACGGGACUAUUUUUUUAUAGUAGUCACGAGAAACUUCUGAUACCUUUAUUUUCUUUUAAGAAUCAUAGACUUGAAAAAAAUCACUGAUACUUAAAUUAUAAUGUCUGAUAAAAAUAUUAGGGCACUCACAGUACUAGAACUUAAUUGCAAAGUACUUGCUUUGUAAAAGGCCAAAAUUCUAUCUUCCACAAACUGAAAAAGCUGUUUUUAGAGACAUGAUGUGAGGCAUGGAGAGACUGAUUUAUACAUAUCAAAAAAAGUACAGCCUCACGCCAAGCAAAGCCUGAAAACUUGAUGAACCCGUGUGAUGAGACCAGGUAGCGGCCCUUAGGAAGUUCCCAAGAACAAGAUUCCCUGUGCUGACUCUCAGGUGACUGGAAAGAAUCCAUGCUGAGAACUACAGUUAGUGGAGUGAAAACGUAACCACAUAAUGCAUUGGACUCUGUGCCAGGUUGACCUCCGACAGUAGGAAUACAAAUUAGCACUUCUGAAUAUGGCUAAAUGUCCUAUAUAAAAUCCUACACGAAAACUUGCCUCCAACCUUAUACAUUUUAACCUUCUCUGCCCAGUGCUUGCUAUCUGGUAUGUUUAAGCAUUAAGAAGAAUGUAAGUCAUUAAUGAUCGUGUUUCAACACAGGCCCUAUCAGUGAAGCGUGGACGUCUUCCGCGGUGCUGGCAGCGUAAAGGAACCCACGCUUGUAAGGAAAGGUCCAGUACUAGACAGGCAUCCGUUCUGCACUCAGACUUCUCAACUUGUACAACUUGUCAACAGUCAACUAAUUUCUGGGCCCUAAAGAUGAAUUUCCCUUAAACUAAAAAGAAUAAUUCACAUAAGAACUAGCAAUAAUUGUUACCCAUAUGAAACCAAAUGGUAUUUGUGCUUUUUGCUGUUCCCUAGGGAACCAUGCAGAUGGCCUGCCUCUUUAGGAAAGGGGACAGUCACAGGACUCAUCCAGAGGUGACUUUGUGUCCUGUUUCCCUGUAUGUACUCACCUGUGCUCACAAUGAACUCUAGUAGCUUUCCCUAGAUUUCUAAUUCAACUUUUACUCUUCUGCUGGACUCCUUCUUUGGACCAGUCUCUACUCUGCCUCUAGAGAAGCUGGGUUCUUGUCAUUACUUCUCCCUGCACUUUUAGUACCUUUCACUAGUGUGCUUCCCUGUUACAGGAUCAGUAGUAAUGGUUUCUCACAUUUUUUGUGAAGCUAAAACCCUGGGGUAGAUCCCUUUCCCUUACCUAUGCCACACUGCAGGACUGGCGGUUGAAAUCUGCUAAAACCAGCCCAGGAACAAGAGAGACCAAGGCCUGCUUCUCUGCCUGGUCCCUUGCAGUGGCCGCUGGCUCAGGCCAGAUCUCUUCUCUCUACAUAGUUUGUACCAACUCAGUGCGACA